CCGUGGGAGGGAAGGCACUCUCUGUCAAGCUGCUGUCACCUUACCUGAAGUAAGGAGUCCACGCCUGCAUGUCCGAGGAAAACAGUUUUCUCAAACACAUUAGUUGAAAAACUGAAGACGCUGCCUAAAAUACAAGCUGAGUUAGAGACAGCCCUUGUAAGACUAGAAAAAGAAAUGGAAACUAAGUAACAUGAAUUAACAUAGUCCAGGGUCACAAAGCAAAAUGGAACAAGAACCUGGAUCUGAAUUCAGAGGCAGAAUGCUGGGAAAGGCCUUGUGAGGACAUAACCAGGAAGAGAGUCCUCACCAGAACCUGACCAUAACUGCACCCUGAUCUCAAGCUUCCAGCUUCCAGAACCAUGAGAAAUCAAUGUUUGUUGUUUUAGCCACCCAGUCUACAGAAAUUUGUUAUAGCCACCCUAGCUGACUACCACAUUGGACAUCACAGCAAACACUACAACCACAAGUCCAGUUGGCUCCACAAGCUUGAGUUCACCACUUCUCACCAGCUCCACUGCUACCUCCAAAUAAAAGAAAUGGCUGAAAUCCUUUGGAACCAAUAUGACCAACUGGAGUCGGUGCAGAAGGAGCUUGCUGACAACACAGCCUGAAUUUCCACUGUAUGUUUCAUACCAACUCCCCCUGAAUUUGCACAUGUGAUACAUGAGAUAGCAUGAAGAGAUAACUGAGCAUGCCCAAGGACUUCCCAGACUUCUGCUUUCCUUCCACCAAUCACCUGCUAAUCUCAGAAUCCACCCCCUGAAACUUUUCUAAUAAAAA
rnacentral:antisense_RNA from 1 species